GAUGAACGCUGGCGGCGUGCCUAACUACAUGCAAGUCGAACGCUCGCAAGAGAGUGGCGCACGGGUGAGUAACACGUAGCUAAAUCUGCCCUCAAGACAAGGAUAAACUGUAGGAAACUACUGCUAAUACUUGAUAAGCUUACGGACUGUAGAGGUCUAUAAAAAAAGAUUUAUCGCUUGAGGAUGAGGCUGCGCGCCAUCAGCUAGUUGGUGAGGUAAUGGCUCACCAAGGCGACGACGGCUAGGGGACCUGAGAGGGUGACCCCCACACUGGGACUGAGACACGGCCCAGACUCCUACGGGAGGCAGCAGUGAGGAAUAUUGCAC
rnacentral:rRNA from 1 species